GAUCAUUACUGAUUUGCUUAAUUGCACCACAUGUGUUUUUCUUUGAAACAAACUUGCUUUGGCGGUGGGCCCAGCCUGCCGCCAGAGGUCUAAACUUACAACCAAUUUUUUAUCAACUUGUCACACCAGAUUAUUACUAAUAGUCAAAACUUUCAACAACGGAUCUCUUGGUUCUCGCAUCGAUGAAGAACGCAGCGAAAUGCGAUACGUAAUAUGAAUUGCAGAUAUUCGUGAAUCAUCGAAUCUUUGAACGCACAUUGCGCCCUCUGGUAUUCCGGAGGGCAUGCCUGUUUGAGCGUCGUUUCUCCCUCAAACCGCUGGGUUUGGUGUUGAGCAAUACGACUUGGGUUUGCUUGAAAGACGGUAGUGGUAAGGCGGGAUCGCUUUGACAAUGGCUUAGGUCUAACCAAAAACAUUGCUUGCGGCGGCAACGUCUACCACGUAUAUCUUCAAACUUUGACCUCAAAUCAGG
rnacentral:misc_RNA from 1 species